rnacentral:rRNA from 1 species
AGCGAACGCUGGCGGCGUGCUUAACACAUGCAAGUCGAACGGUAAGGCCCUUCGGGGUACACGAGUGGCGAACGGGUGAGUAACACGUGGGUGAUCUGCCCUGCACUUCGGGAUAAGCCUGGGAAACUGGGUCUAAUACCGGAUAGGACCACUGCCUGCAUGGGUGGUGGUGGAAAGCUUUUGCGGUGUGGGAUGGGCCCGCGGCCUAUCAGCUUGUUGGUGGGGUGAUGGCCUACCAAGGCGACGACGGGUAGCCGGCCUGGGAGGGUGACCGGCCACACGGGGACUGAGAUACGGCCCAGACUCCUACGGGAGGCAGCAGUGGGGAAUAUUGCACAAUGGGCGCAAGCCUGAUGCAGCGACGCCGCGUGAGGGAUGACGGCCUUCGGGUUGUAAACCUCUUUCAGCACCGACGAAGCGCAAGUGACGGUAGGUGCAGAAGAAGGACCGGCCAACUACGUGCCAGCCGCCGCCGUAA